rnacentral:rRNA from 1 species
UACGAACUGUGCAAACGUUAUUCGGAUUCACUGGGCUUAAAGGGUGCGUAGGCGGCCAUGUAAGUAGGGUGUGAAAUCCCCCGGCUUAACCGGGGAACUGCGCCCUAAACUGUAUGGCUUGAGUGAGAUAGGGGUGUGUGGAACUUCCGGUGGAGCGGUGAAAUGUGUUGAUAUCGGAAGGAACGCCGGUGGCGAAAGCGACACACUGGGUCUCAACUGACGCUGAGGCACGAAAGCCAGGGGAGCGAACGGG